GCAUCCUUCGAUUAUAAUUGGCACCACUCUUUUCCCUUUCUUAAUGGUACAUAAACUAAUAGUACAUCUUAUGACUGAACAGCAUCUUACAUUCAAGGACAAGUGCCAUGUCUCCAUCUAAAUCCAUCAUGUUAUCUCUAAGCUGAUCCAGCACCUUGUGCAAGUACAACGAUAAACUCCUCCCGUGGAGGAGCCUGUGCCCAGAUCCUGCAGCAGCAAUAUGUCCCGAACUUCAGCUGCCUUUGGAUUCCAGAUGCACACAGGCC
rnacentral:lncRNA from 1 species